GUUGGUGAAAUGAUCAAAAUGCUUCUGAGGGAGGUGGUGUUACCUCUGAGGCUGUCGAGAGGCAACGGUCCCAGGUCCGCACCCAGCUGCCAGAACCUACAGCACAACUUCAUUUGAAAAACAGAGUCUACUUCAGAAAGCAUUUUCAGACAAAUGUUAGAGACAAAGAGGCCUCAAGUUGGCAAGCCAGCGUCAUCUCUGGUGACAUGUUCAAACAGCUACUUACAUAAACCACACUAAUCAGGCUCCUCUUCAAGAUCAAAAGGUUCAGCACUGUGAUCUGACAUUGAACCUGGCAGUGACCAGAUAGAGCACAGACCCCACCAUGGGGACCCUUUCUAUCGACCUGGCCACCUCCAAACAUCUCAUCUCUCAGUACCAUGUUCUUGCAAAUAUUAAGGACAAAGACAUUCAGCAACAUAUGGAUCUGGAAGGUCCUGCUCCUGUGUGAUCCUGUCAGACUGUGAUUGCUCCAGUGUCUCCCAUUGCUGGCCAGUUGUCAAGACAAUGAGCAUGCCUCAGAGGUGAUCCCCAACAUAGCCAUGGCACCCUCAGUACCUGAUACCUGACUGCCUUGUUCUGUGGCUGUCAGAAGAACGCUGUAGUUACAGAGUGUCUCUUACAUACUGUCAUGAAUGCCUCAGAGCUGGGCUUGCUCAUCCAGGCUCCAGAGAGUCCCUGUUGUUUUCUGUGAAACAUCUUCUGACAACCCAGACGUCCCAAGAAAUUCAAGUUUAUAUAUUACCUCAUUUGAGAAAUGUGCUCCAAUGCACAAGUUGUUAAAUUAUGGUAAGCCUUGUCCCCUGGGACUGAUGGU